rnacentral:rRNA from 1 species
ACAAGCAGUGGAGUAUGUGGUUUAAUUCGAAGCAACGCGAAGAACCUUACCAGGGCUUGACAUCCCUUGAAGCAGCUAGAGAUAGCUGUGUCCUUCGGGACAAGGAGACAGGUGGUGCAUGGUUGUCGUCAGCUCGUGUCGCGAGAUGUUGGGUUAAGUCCCGCAACGAGCGCAACCCCUGUGGUUAGUUGCCAGCAAGUAGCGUUGGGCACUCUAGCCAGACUGCCGGUGAUAAAUCGGAGGAAGGUGGGGACGACGUCAAAUCAUCAUGCCCUUUAUGUCCUGGGCUACACACGUACUACAAUGGCCGUUACAACGGGAAGCGAAGGAGCAAUCCGGAGCAAAUCCCUUAAAGGCGGUCCCAGUUCAGAUUGUGGGCUGAAACUCGCCCACAUGAAGGCGGAAUUGCUAGUAAUUGCAGAUCAGCAUGCUGCAGUGAAUACGUUCCCGGGCCUU